rfam:Branchiostoma floridae genomic scaffold BRAFLscaffold_174, whole genome shotgun sequence.
ACUCCGGCCCUUUUGAGGGCCACCCACAUCUUUACAAAAGAGCUUU